rnacentral:rRNA from 1 species
UACGUAGGGCGCAAGCGUUGUCCGGAAUUAUUGGGCGUAAAGAGCUCGUAGGCGGUUUGUCGCGUCUGCUGUGAAAUCCCGAGGCUCAACCUCGGGCUUGCAGUGGGUACGGGCAGACUAGAGUGCGGUAGGGGAGACUGGAAUUCCUGGUGUAGCGGUGAAAUGCGCAGAUAUCAGGAGGAACACCGGUGGCGAAGGCGGGGUCUCUGGGCGAGUAACUGACGCUGGAGGAGCGAAAGCCGUGGGGAGCAAACAGGA